rnacentral:miRNA from 2 species
AAAAGCUGGGUUGAGAGGGUAG